AUUGAACGCUGGCGGCAGGCCUAACACAUGCAAGUCGAGCGGAUGAUGGGAGCUUGCUCCUUGAUUCAGCGGCGGACGGGUGAGUAAUGCCUAGGAAUCUGCCUGGUAGUGGGGGACAACGUUUCGAAAGGAACGCUAAUACCGCAUACGUCCUACGGGAGAAAGCAGGGGACCUUCGGGCCUUGCGCUAUCAGAUGAGCCUAGGUCGGAUUAGCUAGUUGGUGAGGUAAUGGCUCACCAAGGCGACGAUCCGUAACUGGUCUGAGAGGAUGAUCAGUCACACUGGAACUGAGACACGGUCCAGACUCCUACGGGAGGCAGCAGUGGGGAAUAUUGGACAAUGGGCGAAAGCCUGAUCCAGCCAUGCCGCGUGUGUGAAGAAGGUCUUCGGAUUGUAAAGCACUUUAAGUUGGGAGGAAGGGCAGUAAGUUAAUACCUUGCUGUUUUGACGUUACCGACAGAAUAAGCACCGGCUAACUUCGUGCCAGCCGCCGCCGUAAAAC
rnacentral:rRNA from 1 species